UUAAAGUUCUUAAUCCAAACUGUGCCUUUUUUUUCUUUGUUUUGUUUUUGUUUUUGAGGCAUGGCUUUGCUCUGUAGUCUGGGAUGGCCUCGGACUUGCUUUGUAGAGUUCAUUGGCCUUAAAUUUUAUGGGAGCCCACCUGCCUUAGCCUAGGGCUCCCAUCAGCAGCCAACACUAACUGAAGCCACAGUGCAGUGCUCAUCCUGUAGUUCCAUUUUUGUCAUGUUCACUGCCCUGAUCAAGAAAAGAUGAGGCGCCUGGUAUGGAGCCUCAUGCUAAUCCCAGCACUUGGGAGGCAGAGGCAAAGGUACCCACAAAAUUGGAGGCUAACCUUGGCUGCAGGUUAAGAUCCUGUCUCAGAAAGAAAGAAAGAAAGGGAUGUGGCUGGGUGGAACAGCACUUGCAAUAGCCUGCUCAGGAGUGGAGACUGGGAGUUGGGAAUGAGUUAGGAAAGUGUGACUCUUAACUUGGUAGGAGCCAGAUAGGCACAGGAGCUGAAAGGGGACCUGGGGGUUCCGGCAGACAUUUGUUAUUCAUUUAUAAAUGAAGGUUUGACAGUGUUUAAGUGUUUCCAUUCCUUGAUUUUUAAGUAGUUGAGAGGUGCUCAGUAUAAUCCUUAUACUUAGGAGGCUGAGGCAGGUGGAUUGACAUACUGAAUACCAGUCUGAGUUACAGUGAGACCCUAUCUCAACAAACAAUGGGAGGGAGAGACAACUCAGCCAGUGAGUGUUUAAGCAUGAAGACCUAAGUUGUCUCUAGAACUCAAGUUAAAAGAAGCUGGGGCCUAGAGCAAUGUUGAGCAGGUAAGAGUACUUACUGCUCUUGCAGUGAUCCAUGUUCGAUUCCCAGCACCCACAAAGGUAGAACGUGACUGAUGCCAGUUCCCGGGCCCUUUUCUGAAUCCCAUGGGUAUCAGGCAUGCAUGUGGUGCACAUAACAUUUAUGCAGGUAGACUCAUACAUACUCAAAAGGUGGUGGGGCAUUUCUUCUUGGGAGGCAGAGGCAGGCGGAUCUUUUGCAUUUGAGACUAACCUGGCCUAUAAAGGAAGCUCCAAGACAGCCAGGGCUACACAGAGAAGCCCCUGUUGGGGGGAAGGGGUGUUAGGGAGGCAGAGACAGGCAGAUUCCUGGGGUUUGCUGAGUGUACUUGGCUAGUGACAGUUUACCAGUAAGAGGGUUUGUCUCCAGUAAAUAAGUGUAUGUCUGUGGGAAAUGGCACAGAUGGAUGGCACCAAGGAUUACCCUCUGGCCUCCCUCCAUAUACAGGAGUGUGCACAUCCCCAUGCAUAUGGACCUGCAUAUUCAUACACAAAAUGAAUACAAAAAAGCAUUAGCUAUGGCAAGGUGAGGAGGUAGUGGCUCAGGAAAACCCUAACUGCCUCAGUUUCUAACUCUGAAUGGAGAAACACUGCUUCCCUCACGGUACCUCAAGUGCUCACUCUUCUGUACCUGUAUAGACAGCCCUUUCUACUUUAGAAGUAGAGUCUUCAGAAGCUACGAGGCUCUGUCUUUUACCUCUCCACCAAUAAACUUACUAGAGCAUAUAUAAGACCUGCCUUACUUUAGGUUUGGCUGGGGUGUACACAAAAGAAAAGCCAUCUAAGGAAACUGAGUAGGAUCAGUGUCUCAUGGCACCAAAGCAGUUGUGAUUCUUAAGUCCUUGGUAUUUUAUAUUUUUCUGACAGCCAACUUGUGAAGACCAGUCACUCUAUAAGUUGGAUACAUGGGCAGAGGUAGAAAUGCUUCUCCAAAUUUCCAAAUUAUUCCUUGGUGCCAUGAAAGUGCUUGCUUCUGAGACAUACAUGCAUCUCUGUGUAAGCUCCCAACUCCCGAGAUUUAUCCUUUUUUUUUUUUUUUCUUUUUUUCUUUUUCCUUCUGGAGACCAGGCUCGCUGUAUACCCUGGCUGUCCCAGAAUUCACUGUGUAGACCAAACUGGCUGUGAAAUCAAUAAGUAGCCAAAGCUAGGGUUAGAUGUGAUCCAUCAUAUGCUUUUUUCUCUGAUCAGAUUGUUUGAAUGCUAUUAGGCUUAGUGACCAUUUUCUAGAACUAAAAGGAAGAUGUUCCUUCCAGUCCCAAAUUUGAUAAUCUGCUUUUGCCUGAAAGUUGCAUUGGCAUUAUCUGGGUAUGCAGAAUUCCAUGUUUAAAGCAGCCCCCAGGACUGGAGAGAUGGCUCAGUGGUAAAGAGGGCAAAGUGUUAUUUUAGGGGGCCUGAGUUCAAGUCCCAGCACCCACACUGGGGGGCUCACAGCUGCUAUCUCUCCACCUCUAGGGAAUCCAACAUGGCCUCUAAGAGUGCUUGUACAUGCUCACACACCCUGAGGCACAGACAUACCCAGACACAUGAUUAAAAAAUAAAAUCUUAAGGUAGGCUUGUUUGGUUGGUUUGGUUUUGGGUUGUUGUUAGUUUUGUUCAAGACAGGGUCUCACUAUGUAUGUAGACCAGGCUGGCCUCAAACUCAUAGAUGUCCACCUGACUGCCUGGACUAAAAGCGCUCUCCAUCAUACAUGAUGUUUGAAUACCUGCUGCAGUUUUUAAGAAAAGGCCUCACUAUUUAGCUCUGACUGGCAUGGAACUCACAGAUACUUGCCUGCCUCUCCCAAGUGGCUGGGAUUCAGGAAUAUAGCUUUUGUUCACUGAAGACCAGUAAUAGUCUCUAUGUGAUUGAAGAGAUGACUUAGUGGUUAAGAACACUUUCUGCUCUUGGAGAGAACCCAGGUUCAGUAAACUUAAGAACCACACAGUAGCUCAUAACUGUGUUACUCCAGUUCCAGAUGAUCCAACGCACUCUUGACCUCCUCAGGUAACAGGCAUGUACAUGGUGCACACACAUACAUGUAGGUAAUUACUCAUAAAUUAAACUUU
rnacentral:lncRNA from 1 species